rnacentral:rRNA from 1 species
CCCAAAAAGACAGUCUCAGUUCGGAUUNAAGGCUGAAAUUCGCCUUCAUGAAGCCGGAAUUGCUAGUAAUCACAGGUCAGCAUACUGUGGUGAAUACGUUCCCGGGGCCUUGUACACACCGCCCGUCACACCAUGAGAGUUGAGAAUACCCGAAGUCCAUGUCAAAGUGGCCGAAGGUAGGCUUGAUGAUUGGGGUGAAGUCGUAACAAGGUACC